rnacentral:rRNA from 1 species
GACGAACGCUGGCGGCGUGCCUAACACAUGCAAGUCGAACGGAAAGGCCCUGCUUUUGUGGGGUGCUCGAGCGGCGAACGGGUGAGUAACACGUGAGUAACCUGCCCUUGACUUUGGGAUAACAUCAGGAAACUGGGGCUAAUACCGGAUAGGAGCUCCUGCUGCACGGUGGGGGUUGGAAAGUUUCGGCGGUUGGGGAUGGACUCGCGGCUUAUCAGCUUGUUGGUGGGGUAGUGGCUUACCAAGGCUUUGACGGGUAGCCGGCAUGAGAGGGUGACCGGCGACAUUGGGACUGAGGUACGGCCCAGACGGCUACGGGAGGCAACAGUGGGGAAUAUUGCACAAUGAGCGGAAGCCUGAUGCAGAAGCGCCGCGUGCGGAAUAACGGCCUUCGGGUUGUAAACCGCUUUCGCCUGUGACGAAGCGUGAAUGACGGUAAUGAGUAAAGAAGCAACGGCUAACUACGUG